GACGAACGCUGGCGGCGUGCCUAAUACAUGCAAGUAGAACGCUGAAGGAGGAGCUUGCUCUUCUGGAUGAGUUGCGAACGGGUGAGUAACGCGUAGGUAACCUGCCUGGUAGCGGGGGAUAACUAUUGGAAACGAUAGCUAAUACCGCAUAACAGUAGAUGUUGCAUGACAUUUACUUAAAAGGUGCAAUUGCAUCACUACCAGAUGGACCUGCGUUGUAUUAGCUAGUUGGUGGGGUAACGGCUCACCAAGGCGAGGAUACAUAGCCGACCGGAGAGGGGGGUUGGCCACACUGAGACUGAGACACGGCACAGACUCCUACGGAAGGGAGCAGUAGGGAUACUUCGGCGAUGGACGGAAGUCUGACCGAGAAAGGCCGCGUGCGUGAGGAAGGUUUUCGGAUCGUAAAGCUCUGUUGUAAGAGAGGAACGCGUGUGCGCGUGGAAAGUUCACACUGUGACGGUAUCUUACCAGAAAGCGACGGCUAACUACGUG
rnacentral:rRNA from 1 species